AUGACGAAACCAAAAAGUGAAGGGGGAAUGGGUUUUCGUGACCUUAGGCUUUUUAAUCAAGCUCUUUUGGCAAAACAAGCUUGGUGUUUAUUGGUUUUCCCAGAUUCUCUGUGCGUAAAGGUGAUGAAAGCUAAAUAUUGUCCUCAUGGGCAUCUUAUUGACAUUGUUUCCCCGCAAGCAUUAUCCCUUACUUGGCAAGGUAUUAUGCAUGGCCUUGAGUUGUUGAAAAAAGGUAUUAUUUGA
rnacentral:rRNA from 1 species